UACGGAGGGAGCAAGCGUUACUCGGAAUUAUUGGGCGUAAAGGGCGCGUAGGCGGCUUUGCAAGUGGCGGGUGAAAUCCCUCGGCUUAACCGAGGAACUGCCUGUCAAACUGCAUGGCUUGAGACCAGGAGAGGUGAGUGGAAUUCCCAGUGUAGCGGUGAAAUGCGUAGAUAUUGGGAGGAACACCAGUGGCGAAAGCGACUUCCUGGACCAAUACUGACGCUCAUGUGCGAAAGCGUGGGGAGCAAACAGG
rnacentral:rRNA from 1 species